rnacentral:rRNA from 1 species
AUUGAACGCUGGCGGCAGGCCUAACACAUGCAAGUCGAGCGGCAGCGGAAAAGUAGCUUGCUACUUUUGCCGGCGAGCGGCGGACGGGUGAGUAAUGCCUGGGGAUCUGCCCAGUCGAGGGGGAUAACUACUGGAAACGGUAGCUAAUACCGCAUACGCCCUACGGGGGAAAGCAGGGGACCUUCGGGCCUUGCGCGAUUGGAUGAACCCAGGUGGGAUUAGCUAGUUGGUGAGGUAAUGGCUCACCAAGGCGACGAUCCCUAGCUGGUCUGAGAGGAUGGUCAGCCACACUGGAACUGAGACACGGUCCAGACUCCUACGGGAGGCAGCAGUGGGGAAUAUUGCAAAAUGGGGGAAACCCUGAUGCAGCCAUGCCGCGUGUGUGAAGAAGGCCUUCGGGUUGUAAAGCACUUUCAGCGAGGAGGAAAGGUUGGUAGCUAAUAACUGCCAGCUGUGACGUUACUCGCAGAAGAAGCACCGGCUAACUCCGUGCCAGCCGCCGCAGUAA